GUACUCACUUUGGCAGCACAUAUACCAAAAUUGGAAUGAUACAGAGAAGAUCAGCAUGGCCUCUGAAUGAGGAUGACA
ensembl:snRNA U6 U6 spliceosomal RNA